CAGCAGCCGCGGGAAUACGUAGGUGGCAAGCGUUGUCCGGAAUUAUUGGGCGUAAAGCGCGCGCAGGCGGAUAGGUCAGUCUGUCUUAAAAGUUCGGAGCUCAACCCCGUGAUGGGAAAGAAACUACAUGUCUUGAGUACAGGAGAGGAAAGCGGAAUUCCCAGUGUAGCGGUGAAAUGCGUAGAUAUUGGGAGGAACACCAGUGGCGAAGGCGGCUUUCUGGACUGCAACUGACGCUGAGGCUCGAAAGCCAGGGGAGCGAACGGGAUUAGAUACCCGCGUAGUCCCUGUCUCUUAUACC
rnacentral:rRNA from 1 species